AGCGAACGCUGGCGGCAGGCUUAACACAUGCAAGUCGAGCGGGCAUAGCAAUAUGUCAGCGGCAGACGGGUGAGUAACGCGUGGGAACGUACCUUCUGGUUCGGAACAACACAGGGAAACUUGUGCUAAUACCGGAUAAGCCAUUACGGGGCAAGAUUUAUCGCCGAAAGAUCGGCCCGCGUCUGAUUAGCUAGUUGGUGAGGUAAUGGCUCACCAAGGCGACGAUCAGUAGCUGGUCUGAGAGGACGAUCAGCCACAUUGGGACUGAGACACGGCCCAAACUCCUACGGGAGGCAGCAGUGGGGAAUAUUGGACAAUGGGCGCAAGCCUGAUCCAGCCAUGCCGCGUGAGUGAUGAAGGCCCUAGGGUUGUAAAGCUCUUUUGUGCGGGAAGAUAAUGACGGUACCGCAAGAAUAAGCCCCGGCUAACUUCGUGCCAGCCGCCGCAGUAA
rnacentral:rRNA from 1 species